GACUUGGGAACGGGUAGACUGACAGCUGGGAGAUGCUGCACACUAAUUCCUUUUCUGUUGCCCUCUGAUUACAUCUAGGAGAGAGGCAACGGGUCUCUGUCUCGGUGAAGCUGUCACAGGAAGACUUCCCGCUUCUAAACGAGAGAACAGAAAAGCCUUCCGAAUUCCUGGUUCUCAAGCCACCCCAGCCCGAGCCAGUUUCUACUUGAAAGUCAACCAAUUAAUGAAUGAAGGGUGAAGAUGGAAUUCUGCCAGCCACGAUACCGGGGAAGCAAUUUAAUGGCCAUGAGUUAUGGUCCCUCCAUCACAGCGUAACUAAGAAACACAACUGUUUCUGGCAACCUGGCUCCUUCACCAAAAGAACUUCAAGGCAAGAAUUUUAAACAAAAUAACUUUUCUGGGUUCUUGGGCUUUCCUUGUGCAGGAGGAGACACUGCCCUUAGGAGCCCUGAGAACUGGAGUUCACACUGAAGGCUAAAUAAGGUUAAGACCUGGUUGAGCUGGGGUUGAAGCAACCCAUAAAAUGUGGGGGUCACCCAUAAGGUGCAGAGGAAGUAAACGCUGUUUCCCUGGGAGGUCGGUGCAUACAGAUACUUCCAGAGACAAAACAAUGGAGAUUGGAACAUUUUCAAUGGAUAAUAUCCAAAGCAAUGAAAAGGCCAGUCUUGUUGGGGUACAACUGCAGCCCCAGCAUACAGGAGGCCAAGACAAGAGAAUUCAGAGUGUGAGCCAGCUAGUCUGGGCCAUAUAGCAAAAUUCUGCCUGGGGGGGGGUGUUAUACAAAUACAGACUCUUCCAUUUUUUUUUCAUCAUUUGCUGUCCAACAGGGAAACCAUAAAACACUCUCCUUGCAGGAUACAAAGUACAGCUUUUCUUCCUGGGUGACAGAGCCACACUGGAACAGGAAGCGAUGGCAUAUGGUGGAGCGAUUUCAUUAUCAUGACCUGGACUUCGGACUUGAUUUGUGAUCCUAAUUUCUUAGCUCAAUACCUGUCAAGUUUUAGACAACUUCCUUAAGCUCUGGUUUGCUCAUCUACUUGGGGAAGAGCACUGCACCUCGACACAGGGCUGCCACGAAGAAAGACUGGACUCUGUGAGCACAGGAGAUGAAUACUGCCUUGGGGAGUUGCCGUCCUCAGACAUGCUGAAAGCAACCAGUCAUCUGGGCCAGGCUGGAGGACAUGAGGAGGUGGAGCCAAAAUGGCAUUACAACAAAACAAAACAAAAGACCCUAAUGAUCAGUUCACUACUCAGUCUUCUCAAACAGAAUCUGAUGAAAACCACACAGGAGGAGGGCAUUCGAUGGAUGCCAAGUUCUUCAUACCUCCAGCCAGUUAUCACUUGGUGUCACGGAAGAAAGACAUAGUGCGUGCGUGGGCGUGUGUGCGUGCGUGCGUGUGUGUCCAGUGUCCAGGCAGAGUAUUGGAGGAACCAGUAAGUGGUGAGAGAUAGCUCAAUAAAUGGGCCACUGUGUAUCUGCUCCCAUCAAGGGGCAGCUGAGGCAGCCUCUGUUUUCCCAGAUGGAAAUCUUGGCUGAAAGGGAAGAGACCUGCCUUUCCCCAUAAAUUUAGAAAACAUGUGCAGAAAUUGGGCUGUGAUACACAAGCCGUGUAUAAUUCUGAUUACUCUCAAGGCUGUUUUAAAAAGGAAUUGUGGGUACAGCUGAGUGGCAGAGUGUUGUGGAGCACACUGAAGGCCCUGGGUUCCAUCCCCAGGAUAGUAAAAACACAACAAAUCAAGAGGAAGCUGGAUUCAGUCAAGGGCUUUCCCAUGUGCGAAUCAAGCAACACUUCAGUAGCUGGCCGGUGCUGAACCCCCGACCUGUCACAUAGCAGAACGCCUGUGUUUCGGCCCACAGGGCACACAGGUGGCACAGACAACAGAGGCGGCACGUCUGUGUCUCUAGGCACAGACAACAGAACUGUCCAGCUUUGACAACAUCGCCAACACAAUGAACACCCGGGGCGGAGCUAUCGGUGAUCAGACAAGAUGAAGGGAUGCAGAGCUCGAGCGAGAUACAGGAGCGCUAGCUCUGUCUAGUUCAAAAGCAGAGAGAUCUGCCAGUGGAGGAGGUCAGGGGUCACAGACGAGGUUCCUUCCUGAGCUCUCUCACUUGCCUUCCUGCUUUCAUAGUUAUACUCUGCUGAGAGGGACGCCCUCCAGGAUUCAGCACCAAGGAAAGAUGUGUUAUUGCCCUGUAUAUUAAAGUGAGUGUUAGAGAGCUCCCAGCAAUGCGGCUGGGCCUCCCCAACUCCCCUGCAACUCCCCUGCUCCCCUCUCCACCUUACGGGCUAGACCACAUUUGUCCUGCUCGAUCCAUAAACAGUAAGAGCUUAAAGGGUCCAGGUUUGCUUCUGACUUGGCUUAGUGGGGGUCUCUGGGAGGCACUGCCUCUCCUGCCUGCUCAGGUAUUUUUCUCAGUGGUUUCCGGAGCCCCAUGUAGAGGGUGCUACAUGAAUGCCAACAUGUGUGAAUGCAUGUUUUAGUGCAUGUUCAAGGUGAAUGCUGGAGUCGUAGCAAUUCAGGACUGGGGGAGCAGUCACCUCUACAGCCUUCCCUCCCUCUCUCAGGCAGUACCUCAGGGCCCCAGGCUGCUUGUCUGAGUGUCACCUUGAGUGAAUGACAAUCAUUUGUUUGCUGAUCCAGUGCUCCUCUUUUGACCCACCCCUCAGGAAAUUAUAAACCACAGGGUUAAUUCUAUUGAGAUCUGCUCCUUCCCAGGUGCCACAUUCUGCACUAGAGUGAGAAUCUGGUCCCUGAGACAUAGAGACAAGGGUUGCUAGCAGUGUGACUUUGGGCAGGUCAUUAAGUCUCCUGGUUUCCUACCUCUGGCCAAAAACCAAGGAAAACACAGUUACUGCGAAAUGCCUGGCCCCAUGCAGUCUACACACAGUGGAUGUUGACUGUAAGUAAUUCGACAAAACUCACAGAGAAUCCACGGCAGUGAAUAACCUUGAGCUGUUCAAGCAGCCCGUGUUCAAAGUGCUUUCACAGAGUCCUUCGCAAUGAGCACACGCUCUGGGCGAAGUUAUAAAUACCCAUGGGCUUCUGUAAUGGGGCAAACACUAGCAUGUAAAGGCUUACUGGUUUGUCUACGUUGCUUUUGAUGCAGAACAGGCUGAAACUGGAGAUCAUAAUUACUCCACAGUUAAAGUGCACUUUCCAUUUCUGGGAAGAGUCUAUGAUCCCAAUUUUAAUGCAUUUUAAAAUAAACUAUGAGAUUUCACUUUUCUUUAAGUCAUGGAAAUAUUUAUGAGAGUAUGUUUUUAAUUGACACUCUAGUUAUGCUGAAAUGUGUUUAUAAAUACAUAUAUAGAUAUAUACACACACAGGGAUAAUAAAGCAACAAUUCACACUUGUUUUCAUGUAAAGUGGAAAGAAUUUUAGAUUUUAAAUAGACUGCCCACUUCCAAAACUAAAGGUGAAAAGAGUCUUAGGUCUAGGUCUCAGUCUCUCAGACUAGGUUUUAGUCUUUUUUUUUCUAUUUGUUUGUUUUGGUUUUUCAAGACAGGGUUUCUCUGUAGCUUUGGAACUCACCCUGGAACUUGCACUGUAGACCAGGCUGGGCACUGAGAUCUGCCUACCUCUGCCUAAGUGCUGCAAUUAAAGGCGUGUGCUACCAACUCUCAGCUAGGUUUUAGUUACUGUUUGUGCAUAAAACAUCUUCCAAAUCAUACAUGCGAGUAUGUAUGUGAGUCUGUUACAAGGCCCUCUUGAGAACAGUAGUUAAGAUCAUGGCAAGGGAGAUGAAAAUUUAAGAAAGAGCAGUGGGAAUGAUGUGUUUGGCUGUCCUGAAAUGUUUCAGUCCUUUUCCUGGGGUCCUGAGAAUCAGAUCUCAGAAUCAACUUUUCUGACCACUAAGGCAACGAUCAUCCUGUGUAAGGAGAAGACAGGACUUUUAAAGUAUGGCCUCUGUUCUUGUCCCCACGCCCUUCCCCAGCUCACUAGCAGGCUGCAUAGCAGAAGUGUCUCCAUUCAGAGAGGAGCUCUCAGAUCUAUCCCAGUGUGCUAAAAGAGCAGAAGAAGACUUUUGUCCCUAGGUGGAAACAUCUGCCAGAGCCAGCAGCCAGAUCAACAUGUCCCUAAGAGCCCGGUGCUCUGUGUGCAAGGCACAGAGACUAAAAUAAAGUCCAUCAGCCAU